CGUACGUUAGCGGCGGACGGGUGAGUAACACGUGGGUAACCUACCUAUAAGACUGGGAUAACUUCGGGAAACCGGAGCUAAUACCGGAUAAUAUUUCGAACCGCAUGGUUCGAUAGUGAAAGAUGGUUUUGCUAUCACUUAUAGAUGGACCUGCGCCGUAUUAGCUAGUUGGUAAGGUAACGGCUUACCAAGGCGACGAUACGUAGCCGACCUGAGAGGGUGAUCGGCCACACUGGAACUGAGACACGGUCCAGACUCCUACGGGAGGCAGCAGUA
rnacentral:rRNA from 1 species